rnacentral:rRNA from 1 species
UACGGAGGAUGCAAGCGUUAUCCGGAAUGAUUGGGCGUAAAGCGUCCGCAGGUGGCAAUGUAAGUCUGCUGUCAAAGCGUCUGGCUCAACCAGAUAAAGGCAGUGGAAACUACAUAGCUAGAGUAAGGUAGGGGUAGAGGGAAUUCCUGGUGUAGCGGUGAAAUGCGUAGAGAUCGGGAGGAACAUCAGUUGCGAAGGCGGCUCUCUGGACCAGCACUGACACUGAGGCACGAAAGCGUGGGGAGCAAACAGG